GCCGAGAUGGUGAAAUCGGUAGACACGUUACUUUGAGGGAGUAAUACCUGAAUAGGUAUGCGGGUUCGAAUCCCGCUCUCGGCA
rnacentral:tRNA from 1 species